rnacentral:rRNA from 1 species
AACGAACGCUGGCGGCAUGCCUAACACAUGCAAGUCGAACGAGACCUUCGGGUCUAGUGGCGCACGGGUGCGUAACGCGUGGGAACCUGCCCUUAGGUUCGGAAUAACUCCCCGAAAGGGGUGCUAAUACCGGAUAAUGUCUUCGGACCAAAGAUUUAUCGCCUUUGGAUGGGCCCGCGUUGGAUUCGCUAGUUGGUAGGGUAAAAGCCUACCAAGGCGACGAUCCAUAGCUGGUCUGAGAGGAUGAUCAGCCACACUGGGACUGAGACACGGCCCAGACUCCUACGGGAGGCAGCAGUGGGGAAUAGUGGACGAUGGGCGAAAGCCUGAUCCAGCAAUGCCGCGUGAGUGAUGAAGGCCUUAGGGUUGUAAAGCUCUUUUACCCGGGAUGAGAAUGACGGUACCGGGAGAAUAAGCACCGGCUAACUCCGUG